UGAGGAACAUGACUUUCGGCGGGGGAUAGCCGGCCCAACGGCCGGGUAAUACCGCGUACGACCACAUGGGGACAUCCCUGAGUGGUGAAAGCAGCAAUGCGCCGAUGGAGUGCCUCGCGGCCUAUCAGCUAGUUGGUGAGGUAACGGCUCACCAAGGCGACGACGGGUAGCUGGUCUGAGAGGAUGGCCAGCCACAUUGGAACUGAGACACGGUCCAGACUNUACGGGAG
rnacentral:rRNA from 1 species